UUUGAAGUGUUUUGAACGAGGAUUCGAGAUGAGGAGUGGCAGGAGACUAUCCAGUAUCAAUUUGGGCUCAAUUGGACGAGUUUGUGUUUUGGCCGAAUUUUAGAUUUGGUUUUCGAAAAGCCUGGAUUCGAUUCGAGAAAAAACAUUAGCAUAUAUGGGAAGAGGAGGACAAGGGGAGAUUGGGGUGUUAAUUUGGUGGGGUUUGGCUACCGAUGCCGCCAUCGGUGGCUGAGAAUUUUGGGGCGACGCAUUUAGAGUUCUUGAGCUCUGAUAGUUGGG
rnacentral:lncRNA from 1 species